UACGUAGGGGCCAAGCGUUGUCCGGAUUUAUUGGGCGUAAAGAGCUCGUAGGCGGUUCGGCAAGUCAGCUGUGAAAUCUCCACGCUCAACGUGGAGGGGUCAGCUGAUACUGCUGUGACUUGAGUCCGGUAGGGGAGUGUGGAAUUCCCGGUGUAGCGGUGAAAUGCGCAGAUAUCGGGAGGAACACCAGUAGCGAAGGCGGCACUCUGGGCCGGUACUGACGCUGAGGCGCGACAGCGUGGGGAGCAAACAGG
rnacentral:rRNA from 1 species